AGGCGGAGUCUUGGGCAAUUGCCAGCAAUCUUAAGGGGCAUUGCACUUGUCUCGGUCUGA
ensembl:miRNA microRNA 25